GUUUGUGUUUUGUAACGUCUGGCGUGUGUCACAGCCUCGGAAUGUAGCAGUCUGGUCCAUACGUGAAUGUCCGCUGUGUGGUUCUCCACAGAGGCCAGCCUGCCUGACAGGCUGAGGAGACCAGCCCGCUCGGCUCCUGGUCCUCCAGUGCGUAGGGGCCUGGCCAGCCUCCCUUCACUCAGUCCCAUUGUUUUGGCAGUUUCCAGCGAUGGAAUCAUCUCAGGAACCAGGGCUCCUAACACCAGUGUCAACCUUGCCACAGAAGUUUGUACUGAAGAGCUGAGACUCUAGAAUCAGAACCCAGGCCCUCCCCUCUUCUUGGAGGGAUAAGCCAGUUGCUUUGCAGUGUUGUCCGUUUCUGCUGUGGGGCAAAGUGAAUCAGUUACGCGUGCGCAUACACACGUGUCCGCACUCGCCUGGCUUUCCUUCCGAACGAGGUCCCUACCAAGCGUGGAGUAGAGGUCCCUGCGCCAUACAAUGAAUGGACCUCACAGGGAGCACACGGUUGAGAUUUAUUAGAGCCAGCAGAUCUUGACUCUUCAGGCAGAUGGAUAAUGUGCAGGCUGAGGAAUAUCAUCGUGAGUUCACAGGUUCAGGAAAACCUGUCUGAUUAUCACGUAAGUCUGGGGGUGAGCAUUUCCUCCCAAUGCUAAUUCAUCGCACUCACCUUAUCAAGUAUAAUACUAAAUGAGAUGCUAAGGAAAUUAGCCUCUAACAAUCUUGAGAUGCUCCCCUUUGUUAUCUUCCAAUUGUUUUAUUUCCCUCUGUCCUAACUACUUAAGUAGAAAUAAUUAUUUUUAUGGAAGAUAGAGAUAAUAAUAGACAGCUUCAAGCAAAAGAAGAUGUGAGAUUCAUAACAUAAAGAAAUGUAUGGCAGCUAUCGCACAAGGUUGGAAGAGAGGAACAUCAACAUUCUUGUAUUACAUGAGGUAAUAUAUUAUUUGAAAAUAAACUGUGAUAAAGAGGCAUACUGUAAAUCCUAGAGAAACAAAGUCAGCCAGUGAUGGGAGACAAAAUGGAAUCAUAAAAAUAAUCCAAAAGAAGAAAUGAGGCAAAUAGGAAACACAAUGCAGGAGGGUGGAUAUAUAACGAAACAUAAAUAUUCACAUUGGACUAUUUACAUUUUAACACCUCAAUUAAAAGGCAGAAGUUUUCAGAUGAGAUUUUAAAAGCAAGGUUCAAUUAUAUGCUACUUUUGAGAAACCAACUUUAAGCAUAAAGACAUAAAGAUUAAAAGGGUGGAAAAACACAUUAUCAUGCUAACACCAACCAUUAGAAAGAUGGAGUGGCUAUACUAAUAUGAAAAUAGAUGUCAGGACAAGGAAUAUUAUUGAGACUAAAGCAGAUCCCUCCAUAAUAAUAAAUUGGUUCAUUUAUCUGAAGUCCGUAAUAAUCCUAAAUGUUUAUGUAGCUAAUAGUAAAACUUCAAAAUAUUUGAAGCAGAAACUGAUAUAAAUAAGAAAAAUAGUAUAACCCACAAGUAUGGUUGAAUUUUCAAUAUCCGUCUCUCACUGAUCCAUAGACAAAGUAGACAGAAAAUGAGGAAGGACAUAGAAGAUUUAACGCAGUCAAACUCCUUGACCUAAUUAACAUUUAUAGAACAUUCCACCCAGCAAUAGC
ensembl:lncRNA